rnacentral:rRNA from 1 species
AGAACGAACGCUUGCGGCGCGCCUAAUACAUGCAAGUCGAACGAGAAAGUUUCUUCGGAAGCGAGUACAGUGGCGGAUGGGUGAGGAACACGUAGAUAAUCUGCCUUAAAGAGGGGAAUAACUACUCGAAAGAGUAGCUAAUACCGCAUAAGACCACAGGAGCUUCGGCUCUAGGGGUUAAAGGAGCAAUUCGCUUUAAGAUGAGUCUGCGUCCGAUUAGCUAGUUGGUGAGGUAACGGCUCACCAAGGCGACGAUCGGUACCU